rnacentral:lncRNA from 1 species
UCUCCUAUAGUGAGGUUUUGACUAGAUUAUAGCCAAUCGGAUGCCUACAAAAGGAAGAAAAGGUUGGCUAUGUGGAACUGAAAGUGAGGAACAAAAAAAAUUGAAGAAAAAAUAUUUCAACCAGAACUAGAGGAAUCGGUGACCACCUUAGCACGAGGAUUGGAUGAGGGUUUUACGAUUUUGUUGGCAGCAAGCUCGAUGGUG